GAAGAACCAUUUAUAAGAAGAAGAACACCUGUUUCAAACUUUGGCGGGGUUGAAAUUGGCACAUAUGCUGUUGAGUACAUCUGGCAACGGUGAAGUCCAUGGACAUCGUCAAGUUUGCGGUUAAUGUUGAAUGAACUGAAAGAAAGAUACGCCAAAGAAAGCAGGUGAGAUAAGUCCAAAUACACAGAAAGGACAUUUGUUAAACUUCCAUUGGUUGUGAUAAUGUGAAACCACCAGGGACGCUGGAAAUCAAUUAACGUUAGUUGGGGGUGUUGAGAGUCAGUCUAUAUAAUGUUAUAAAUGUAGCUAAAUCAUCAUAGUUUAUAAUACUACAGAGCAGUGAGGAGGACACAGCCAGUCCAUACAGGACAACCAGCAGCAAACCCGUUCAUGUGAAACUAUGAAGGUAAAUAUGGUGCAAAAUGUGUGAGCUUGUAGAAUACGAUGUGAGAACUGCCACAGCCAGCCUGCUUCUAAAUAAAUACUUUUAAAAAAAAAUUGUUUUUAAUUGUCCAAACACUUUUUAACGCAAACACUUGACAGCUGUGAGCUCCAGGUCCAAACACUGCCUUUUUUUUAGUUUGACUGUUAGUGUUUAGACAAUAAUAGGUAUUUAUUUAGAAGCUGGCUGGUUAGUUGGCUAACGCUACCAUGCUAUUCCACGGUGCGCGUGUGUGCGUUUGCGAGCUCUGGAAUUAAAAUGACUGUCGAGUAUGUGAUGAGAACUUUACUAAAAAAAAUAUAAUUGUUCUGUUCUAGCUCGGAGGAUGUUUCCCAGAUCAACCGGAGUUUAGUGUUAUGGGAGUGGUUGUGUUCUCCCGUCCUGUGUGUGUUCUCUCUCUGUCCCCCCCCCCUUUGCCCUGUCUGUCUGUUUUGCUGGAGCGGCUGAAAGUAGGUCAAGGGGCGUGGCCGGGUGAUCUACCUACCUGCACGGCUGCCGGCAAUCCUGCAAUCACCUUCUGCUCAGCUGUUACAGAUUCCCCUGAUCACGGCUGCAGUAUUUAGACUCGGUUGGAACCUGUCUUCGGCGCCAGAUCGUUACAGCUACCAAAGUGACCUCCACCACCCGACCUGUUGCCUGUAGACGGCUGUUCCGCCAGCCGUUCGUUUUUCAGACCAUCUAUCUCCCUGUUUGGAUUCCUGUGAGAGUUGUUUUGGACACGCUACAGUCUGCCCACGCCCGCUGCAGUCCUGUCUUCCCCACUUGCACAGCUAA